GCCUGAACUUGACUCCAGGUGCAGUGUGGAGCGGAGUCAACCUGAGGGCAUGGGCGGGAUAUACCGUCUGUAUCCCAUCCCCCCAGGUUUCUCCAUCAAGCAUGGAGACGCACACGGAUGCAAGCACACACACGCACACACACACACUCCUAUGCCGUCACUCUCUUUUUCCAGGGCCAGUGUGGAAUCUUCAUUGAUAAAAGCCUACAGUCCAGUGGUCCCUCAGUGUUGUGUUGUGGCGAUGACCUCCUGCUGUACUUGCCAGGACCUCCACUCGGACCCGGUCGAAUGGAGAUUUUAUGGGGAGUAUUUCGCUCACUCGUGACUAGAAGAUGUAUCGAACUACCAAGGUUGAUAAGAGUAAUGAGUGGUUGGGCUACAGAGACCUGGGUAGGCUUUGAGGGGCUCAGUGGCCUGGAGACAGCUUCAACCACAACUGACAAAUCCAGAGGGGCCCUCUCAUCGCCUUGCUACAGGCACCCGGCACGGGAAAGCACCUGGAAUUAAUGUCUCAGCUCCCCGGAGGGAAUUACUUUUUUAGGAGCGAGGGAUGGAGGAAAUGAUGGCGGGAUUGGGGGGGGAUUCUCAAAGGAAUCCAUCAUUCUUCAAUCCCAAGAUAGAACAAACCUCCAGGGAUGCAAAAAGGAGGUACCAGCUCUUUCUAGACUUUCCCAUCCUCCCCUUCAUUAUCUUCCCUCUCCGUACCUUCCUCCACCCCUCCCUCCCUCCAUCCCUAUGGAGGCGAGUGUGAACAGCUGUGAUGCAUGUAUGUCUGGGGCUCUAUAAUGUAGCCAUGUCGUUAGGGCUGGACAUUGCUAACAUGUGUGUUUGUGCCUUUUUAAACGAGCCUGCCACAGUUCAAAGAGGCUGCCGCUUAGGCUAUUGGCUGCAUCCCAAAUGGCGCCCUAUUCCCUAUAUACUGUAGUAGCGUACUUUUGACCAGAGCCCUUUGGGUGUCAUUUGGAACACAGCCCUUGUCCUUUCUGGUCCCGAUACCUGCUGUGCCUGUA